rnacentral:rRNA from 1 species
UACGAGGGGGGCAAGCGUUGUUCGGAAUUAUUGGGCGUAAAGGGUGCGUAGGCGGUUUGAUAAGUCUUGUGUGAAAUCUAUGGGCUCAACCCAUAGUCUGCACAGGAAACUGUCGGGCUUGAGAGUGGGAGAGGUGAGUGGAAUUUCCGGUGUAGCGGUGAAAUGCGUAGAUAUCGGAAGGAACACCUGUGGCGAAAGCGGCUCACUGGACCAUUUCUGACGCUGAUGCACGAAAGCUAGGGGAG